UUCCUCCCUUAUAUCUUUCCUAAAUAUUGAGAAUGCACAGAGAACUUUACAAAAACGUGUCAAGUGUCCUGUAACAAGUGUUAGCUAAUGCAGUGUUGGGCCCAGUCACACAUACAUGCUCACAUGUUCCAGUUUACUCACCACGGUACCGAUUGAACGAAGAAAAAAGAGAAAAAACAACGUUGCAGGCCUGUUUUGGUCUCGCAAAACAUUGAGUGCGCUGAACUGACACUUACAAAACAUUGAGAGCGUCGAAAAGACUGGUCCGGAUACGCAGGUGCGGUGCGAUGAACCAACAGCUCUGCCUCGUGUGCGCCCGCCGUGGGCUAGCUAGCUCGGCUACCUCCGAUCGCGGCGUCCGCUCCGUCAGACGGGUCGCCGGCCUCGUUUCUCAGUCACAAACGGUCCCCUUCUCUGAACCUCCCUCUCAGUUUCGUCGACUUUAGUGGCUCUUUUUAGCGUCUUUUUCCUUCUCUCUAAACGUGCGAGCGUCCCGUGCUCCCCACGGGUCCAGCAAGAGAGAGCGAGCCAAAAAAAAACGAGCGAGGGAAAAACUGCUUCCAGCACUUUUCAUCCGUGUCGCUCUAUCCCGUCACGUGUACCCCGUUUUAACGUGCAUGCAGCCAAACACUACUGACAAUACAGCGUGAAUACUCAAAUGACCAAUAAAAAAGCGGUCACAUAAACACAGGAAGGAUAAAGUAAUAAAAGGAUAGCUGCAUAAAACCUCUGAUAAUAUUAUUUAACAAAAUAAUAUAAACUUUAACCUUUAGUUUUAAUCACUGUCAUGAAAUAAAAUAACAAAUUAUUGAUCUCCCUUUAAUCAUGUAAAAUAAAUUAGUAUUUACUUAUUUGAAAAUCAGUUGUCACUUAUUUACUUAAAGUAAAUAAACGUUUACAUUUUAAUAGUCAUGUCACUGGGUUUUGAGAAUAAGAGGGAUCAAUCAUAACCCACCCAGUUUACCUUACACUAUAAUACCCGAAUUUACCACUGGGCUACAUGACAUUGAGAUAUUUUCCAUUGGAUGUGAUCCCUCUCCUAAGUUGUUUACCUGCCCCUUUCUCUUUGUCUCUGUCUCCAUCUUCCCAUUUCUCUCUCCAGAUUGUUCCAGUGGGAGAAUAGUGGACUUGAGCUAGCUUCGGACAUCCACCAGAGAAACUAUACAUCACAUCAGAGUACACACAAUUGUUUCAACAUUGAAUGAUAUCAGCAUCUAGACCUCCAAGACCCCCCAGCCUCCCCACUGACCUGCUGCCUGUGAUCUGUGACCUGUAUCUGUACUGGGUUGUCAAAGUAAGCCUGACACAGAUCACCAAUCAAGCAACAAAGCUGGAAAAAGCCUAAGACCCCGAAGGUUUCAAACACACACACACACACACACACACACAGUUUUCGACUCAGGACUUUAACCCCAAGACAAUAGUGGAUGUUCAAAUGCUUUAUCAAAAAGCAUGUACUAUAUUUUUGUCUUUAAAGAAUUAAAGAUUAUAUACUUAUAAUCUUGUUCACUAGCUAUGAUUGCACUAAGCAAAAUGGGUCUCACACUGGUCUUUACCUGUGGCCUUUAAAUCACUAAAACCGCCCCUGCAUACAUGCUUGAAUGAAUACCAUUCAGAGAGCCUAUCACUGAUCUGCAGCUACUCAGGAAUAUAUAUGAAGCUGAUUUGUGUAUGUUUGAAGUCCUUGAGCUUUAGGAUUGCAGUCUCCUGCAAUACUUUGCUCCUAUUUAUAAGUGGUGGAACACAUACCUAGAUCUUUU